AGCAGCCGCGGUAAUUCCAGCUCCAAUAGCGUAUAUUAAAGUUGUUGCAGUUAAAAAGCUCGUAGUUGAAUUUCGGGAUCAAUAUGUUGGUCGUGCCUUGGUACGUACUAAUUUAUUGGUUUCUUCCUUCUGACAAACCAUGAUGUCAUUAAUUUGGUGUCAUGGGGAAUCAGGACUGUUACUUUGAAAAAAUUAGAGUGUUUAAAGCAGGCUCACGCUUGAAUACAUUAGCAUGGAAUAAUGAAAUAGGACGUUUGAUUCUAUUUUGUUGGUUUCUAGGAUCGACGUAAUGAUUAAUAGGGAUAGUUGGGGGCAUUAGUAUUCAAUUGUCAGAGGUGAAAUUCUUGGAUUUAUUGAAGACUAACUACUGCGAAAGCAUUUGCCAAGGAUGUUUUCAUUAAUCAAGAACGAAAGUUAGGGGAUCGAAGACGAUCAGAUACCGUCGUAGUCUUAACCAUAAACUACGCCGACUAGGGAUCGGAUGAUGUUAAUUUUUUAAUGACUCAUUCGGCGCCUUACG
rnacentral:rRNA from 1 species